CGGCUGCAAGCAGCGUUGUACCCUCCCUUCCCCAGGCUGAAGCCGGCUGUCUGUCACAGGACAGCCGGCCUCCCUCACACCGCGGCCCUUGGACAACGCCUGGCACCCGCAUCUGAUAAGUGUCCAGAACAACUGCAUACCCCAGGGGGCUUUGUGUUCAGAGAGGAGAUAUAACUUCUGGUAACAUCACCUGAUGUCCCUUUUUUCCUUCAGCUCUACUCCCUGCUGCUCGACCCAACUGCGUGUCUCACUUCAAAAUUAUGACUUGAGAUCUGGAUCCUGUUCCCAGCUUUGGUGUUGCAAUUUCCUGUUCCACCCAUUCCUUCCAAUAUGCAGGGCUAUUGGAAAAACACUUCAGACAGAAAUAUUUUAUCUUGCAUCUGGCUCAGCUGCACAAAGAUUCACAAGAGUAACAGGACUUUUGGUGAGUUCUGGCAUAAUGAAAUGGAUGGGGAAAGCCAGGUGCCGGGAAGAAGGAUGCGAAGAUCUGAAGGUGAAUAUUCUGCUGGUGGUGACACUGAACUUAAAGCAAGGAGACUGGCUAAUGGAAAUGAUUAUGGAAGUGGAAGUGACAGCUGCUGAAGUGGAAGGGAAAACUGAAGAUUUAAAGUGCCGAAAAUAUAUCUCAGCGAUGUGUGAAGUGAUGGUGACCCUACCAGUGAAGAGUCCUUGAACUCACAUUCCAUCUAUUGUGCUUUUUCAGGAGAAGCUUCAUUCAAUAUUAAACAGGUGUGCCAUUUUCAGAGAGAAAACUAAGUUGAAGAGUAAAGCCUCCACUAUUUAUGCUAAAGGGACGGACAGUCACAUCUAAUGAAUUAGUUACAUAACCUGUGUCACAACUUAUUUUCUGGUGACUCCUUUCAGUGACGAUCUGUAUGAAUCCUUCUUUGUUUUCUGGCUCAAAACUUGCUUCCUGAAGUAUUUCUUGUGAUAAGACUCUAGGAGAUGAGAGGUGGGUGCUGCCGUGUGGCAAUCAGCAUCACUGUCUG
ensembl:lncRNA